CACCCCAUAUUAGUACCUUCCUUUCAGUCUAAAUGAAUGGAGGGCUAUGCUAAUGGGGUAGAGAAAAUGUCACGAUCUGAAGGUGUGGCUAGCUAACCGUGCGCCACUCUUAAUAAAGUGACAGAACAUUUUAAA